rfam:Cucumis sativus cultivar 9930 chromosome 3, whole genome shotgun sequence.
GGGGAGCAUCCAAAAGCUGUGAUGCUACCUGAUACAAUCUUCCUACAUGAAAUAUCUGUAUUUUCCUGCUUGUUGAAUCGAGCAAAUUCUACAAGCCUCAAAAUGCUAGAAACAUGA